UGGCGGCAGGCGCUUGAUACACAGUAUGAUUGCGAUAAUUUAUUUAAUCCUGCUGUUUAAAUUGUCAAAAUUAAAUUGAGAUCCUUGUUGCUCAGUGGUUGGGUGCUCCCUCUGGGCUAGAACUAACAUUCAUUUAUAAAUAAUCGGAAAUUAAAGGGUUAGAUUUCCGAGAAACGCGCCUGGAUUGCAGCAGUGAAGCGAGAAGCAGAAUAGCAACUAGCAGCUCCAGGAUAUACAGCGAACAUUUCCAUUCAGUUUCAACCAAACAGCUUGGCAUGAAGCAUGUCGACACUUCGAGCAUUCUGGGAUGGAAAACAUCAUGCCAUGACCUUUUCUGAUCAGGGAAAUCAGUUAACAGUUAACAUGCAAAAUGUCUGGGCAGAUCAUCCGCUUUCAUUUGGCAGCUGAACAUAAAUAUCUGCUUCCCUGUCCCUGGCCCACUCAGCACUUGGACGCGAAUAGCGGAGCGAUUAUUUCAAUCCGGAACAUGUUCAAAUUGGUCCCCGACACUUCACCCAUCACGUACUUUGAAGCAGUUGUGAUAACAAGCAUCUGUAAGCAUCUACAGCUUUUGUACCGCAGAUGAGCAUAUGAUAUUCUGACAACACAAUGUGUGAACUGGCUGUAAUGUUCAUGUUUUCAUGAUUACAACAAUAUUUUUGUGUUGUCAGUCAGGAUACUAUUAUUACUAUACAGGAUACUAUAUAUUGCUGGAACUACGUUUAGAAAAAAGAAAUAAAUGAUCAUUUAAGUCAUGAUUUUCACAUUUUGAUUUUUAAUUUAAUUUAAUUUAAUUUAAUUUAAUUUAAUUUAAUUUAAUUUAAUUUAAUUUAAUUUAAUUUAAUUUAAUAAUUUAAUUUAAUUUAAAUUGACAGAUUUUCCUAUAUGUCUCAAAUAUUGAUUUUACAAUUAAAGUGUAAAAGUAUUACACCCCCAUACUGCGUAAUAUGUUAUGAAAACUGGCAAAUACUUCAUUUUUAACCAUCAGUCAUAAUGAAGGAGCUUUAGUUUAGUUUUUUUUAGUUUUUUUUUACACCAACAUCUGUACUUCUGUCUUGUUUUUAACUAAAAAUAUAUAAACAACUAGUAAUUCAAGAUAUAUUAUGUAAAAUGUUUCACUGUUAUUAUUAUUUACCUGAAACAGACUAAAGCCAAACAUUUUGACUUCAUUGUGUUGUAAUUAAAAAAAUUA